GGGUGAAGACAUGAGAGAGACCGGGGAGUAACUGAGUGAAACUGGUGAGUUUGGUGGUGACUCCGGGGUGCCUGGAACUGACUCCAGCUGAAAUGUGGGCGUGGUUGGAGAGUAGCUGGGACAGACAGGAGAGUCCCUGAGGGUUGGAGAUAAAGACGUGCUAGAGACUGGGGAGUAAUGGAGUGAAAUUGGUGAGUUUGGAGGUGAUUCCGGGGUGCCUGUAACUGACUCCAGAUGCAAAGUGGGCGUGGUUGGAGAGUAGCUGGGACAGACGGGAGAGUCCCUGAGGGAUGGUGAAGACAUGAGAGAGACUGGGGAGUAACGCAGUGAAAUUGGUGAGUUUGGUGGUGAUUUCUGGGUGCCUGCAACGGACUCCCGCUGAAGUGUGGGCGUGUUUGGAGAGUAGCUGGGACAGUCAGGCGAGUCCCUGAGGGUUGGAGAUAAAGACGUGCUAGA
rnacentral:lncRNA from 1 species